UAGCCAUGAUAUGAGCAAGCAUUUAGAAUUUCCUUGAAUUGUUCCCAGCAUUGCAAGAAGCUUUCUUCCUCUUUUUGUGAAAAAAUCAUGAUCGCCCUUCUAAGGGU